rnacentral:rRNA from 1 species
UACGUAGGGUGCAAGCGUUAAUCGGAAUUACUGGGCGUAAAGCGUGCGCAGGCGGUUGGGUAAGACAGAUGUGAAAUCCCCGGGCUUAACCUGGGAACUGCAUUUGUGACUGUCCGACUGGAGUACGUCAGAGGGGGGUGGAAUUCCACGUGUAGCAGUGAAAUGCGUAGAUAUGUGGAAGAACACCGAUGGCGAAGGCAGCCCCCUGGGACGCAACUGACGCUCAUGCACGAAAGCGUGGGGAGCAAACAGG